GGAGAGGUGCCCGAGUGGUCAUAAGGGGUCCGUCUCGAAAACGGAUAGGCGUGGAUGAAGCGCCACGUGGGUUCGAAUCCCACCCUCUCCGCCA
rnacentral:tRNA from 2 species